GUGGGAUCUUUUGUAAAACUAUAAAAACUGAAGGAUUGAUUCAUUUCAAAAUUCAGCGUUAACAGAUCUUGAGACUUGACCAAAUCUCUCUCACUUUUGAACAGGUACCUAAUGUGUGAACGAUAUGCAGACUAUGGAGGCAGUUUCUACAUCUCUAAAUGAGGGAAUUGUCUCUAUCUAUAACAUCUGCAAGUCCCUCAAGGAAGCACAUAUCAAUCCCAUCACUGACACAUGCUCCAAUUACAACCAAAUUAGGAAAAAUAUUACGCAUGCUGAGCAGUGCUUGAAAACAUCUGAGAAAAUGAUUAAAGGAAAACUGGGAGAUCUGGAUGAAAGCAUGUGCCAACUUAUAAGAGAGAAACAAAAUGUUGAGCAACAGAAAAAAGAGAAAAAUCUGGCUUUGGAUCAAUUAUACAUAAAGAAGUCAUCUGCUGUGGAAUCAUUGAAGUAUUCCAAAGAGGCUUUGGAACAGGCUGAAAGAAGUGUAGAAUCAGCAAAUUAUGCCAUAAGAGUACAUCAAGACAGGAUGAACACAUCCAAUGAUGUUGCAACUGCAGGGGCGAUACUGUGUGCAAUACCAAUUUUUGGAUGGAUUGCUGGUCCAAUCAUGAUUAGUGAGGGAGAGCAGGGAUUUGAAGAAGCUCUAAAUUCCUUGAGAGCUGCUGAAUGGGAAAAACAAAACGCUGAGUCUCAAGUAAGGAACUGCAAUGCAAAAGUCUCUCAUUAUGAUGGAAUAAUCUCUAGGACAUACUAUGAAAUUGAGCAGACCAAUGAGACUCUAAGAAGGAUUGAGUGGAAGGUUGAAGAGGUUCAAAAGAAUCUAGAGGACACAGAAAAUAUUCAAAACAUGGUCAGGAGAGCUGUGUACCUUCUGAAUGUUCUUAGUGGAAGAGUCGCUGUAAUGGAGAAGCAAACACAACGUUUUGUCCUCUGGCAGCCUGUGGUGGAGAUCAUGCAAGAUGUGAUAAAGGCAGUAUUAAAUAUUGCUGAGAAUCGGCUCCUCUAUAGAGAUGGUCCACCAAGCCUUAUAAAUACUUUGAGGGAGAACGUUACAGGACUACUGUCUUUACACAGCUCAUCCAGUUAUUCUGAAUAUGACAGUUAUUACUGAUCAUCUCCAUGUAACUAACAUAGCAAAGGCUUAUAGAAGAAAAGAUUUAUUGUUGUUUUAGAAACCAAGUGAUUCUGGAAAUUGUCUUCACAGUGAUGUAUGACAGUGACUCUUGGAGUUGUUUAUUUCACCUUCUCUGACAAAAAAAGAGAAAGUAGAACAUUUGGCAUGUUUUAUACAACCAUACAGUACUUGUAAAUGAUGUUUUAAAUGCACAAAUAAAUAGAUGCCUUAAUCACAAUAAAAAUGAUUACCUAAAAUAAAUCUCAUCCAUGUCACAUUAAUUAAAUCUCGACUGCUUUCAUGAAUCACUGUAUUAAAAUUAUGACAUGAUAAAAAUGAAGUGCAUAAGAGUCUUAAAAUUGUAUUAAUUUAAUCUUAAUUAAGGCUAGAUUAAAACACACAAAAACACACAUACACACAAUUCAGGGUUACAGUAAAGCACUUAAAAUGAAAGUGAAUGAGGCCAGACGUAAGCAGUGACAAGGCAAUGCCAUGACAACAUAACGUCUAAACAGUUGUAGACAAAUGUUAAUUUUUUUCAGCUCAAACAAAACAUUAUUAGAAAAUUAGAUUAACUAGAAAAUUGCAAGAUUCACAUUUCUGAUUAAAAAUUUUUAGAAAAUGAGAGAUGAGUAGAUAUUAUUUUUUGUGAUAAUAUUAUCCCACAAAUGCUGUUUAUUGAGCCUAAUGUUUCGUAAUAUGUGCUCCUUUGUCUGUCUUCCUCCUCACUCUUAUUGCACUGUAGAAUUUUCAUUAAAGGGGUCAUAUGAUGCUUUUUUCAAAUCUCAU
rnacentral:lncRNA from 1 species